rnacentral:rRNA from 1 species
AUUGAACGCUGGCGGCAUGCUUUACACAUGCAAGUCGAACGGCAGCACGGGCUUCGGCCUGGUGGCGAGUGGCGAACGGGUGAGUAAUAUAUCGGAACGUACCCAGAAGUGGGGGAUAACGUAGCGAAAGUUACGCUAAUACCGCAUACGAUCUAUGGAUGAAAGCAGGGGACCGCAAGGCCUUGUGCUCCUGGAGCGGCCGAUAUCUGAUUAGCUAGUUGGUGAGGUAAAGGCUCACCAAGGCGACGAUCAGUAGCUGGUCUGAGAGGACGACCAGCCACACUGGAACUGAGACACGGUCCAGACUCCUACGGGAGGCAGCAGUGGGGAAUUUUGGACAAUGGGCGCAAGCCUGAUCCAGCAAUGCCGCGUGAGUGAAGAAGGCCUUCGGGUUGUAAAGCUCUUUUGUCAGGGAAGAAACGGUAGAGGCUAAUAGCCUUUGCUAAUGACGGUACCUGAAGAAUAAACACCGGCUAACUACGU